rnacentral:rRNA from 1 species
AUGCCAGGGCAGGGGGCGCCGGGGCAUAGGGUGAGGGUCGGCUACUACAACCGGAAGUGCCCCGCCGCGGAGAUCAUCGUCAGGGCCGUCGUCGGCAAGGCCGUCUCCCGGAACCCUGGCCUCGGCGCCGGCAUCAUUCGCAUGGCCUUCCACGACUGCUUCGUCCAGGGCUGUGAGGCGUCGGUGCUGCUGGACCCGACGCCGGCGAACCCGCGGCCGGAGAAGCUCGGCCCGCCCAACUUCCCCAGCCUGCGCGGCUUCGAGGUGAUCGACGCGGCCAAGGCGGUCCUUGAAAGGGUCUGCCCUGGAGUCGUCUCCUGCGCCGACGUCAUCGCCUUCGCCGCACGCGACUCCGCCUACUUCCUCAGCGGCUACAAGAUCGACUACAAGAUGCCGGCGGGGCGGUUCGACGGGAGCGUGUCGCUCGAGAGUGAGUCGCUCCAGUUCCUCCCCCCGCCCUUCUUCAACCUCACGCAGCUCGUCGACAGCUUCAAGGCCAAGAACAUGAACGAGGACGACCUGAGCAAGUGCCCCGUCAGCCCCAACUUCACCAACGACCCCACGGUGGUGCAGGACAUCGUCACCCCCAACCGGAUGGACAACAAGUACUACACGAACCUGCUCAAGCGCAAUGUGCUCUUCACCUCCGACGCGGCCUUGCUGACGUCGGGGAAGACGGCGCUGAAGGUGAUGGAGAACGCUUUCAAACCCGGGAGCUGGGAGAAGAAGUUUGCCAAGGCUAUGGUCAAGAUGGCUGCCAUCGAGCUCAAGACCGCUGCCAAUGGGGAGAUCAGGAGGAACUGCAGGGUCGUCAACAACUAG